CCUACGGGUGACAGCAGUGAGGAAUAUUGGUCAAUGGGCGGGAGCCUGAACCAGCCAAGUCGCGUGAGGGAAGACGGUCCUAUGGAUUGUAAACCUCUUUAGGCGGGGAGCAAUGCCGGGCACGCGUGCCCGGAGGGAGAGUACCCGAAGAAUAAGCAUCGGCGAACUCCGUGCCAGCAGCCGCGGUAAUACGGAGGAUGCGAGCGUUAUCCGGAUUUAUGGGGUUUAAAGGGUGCGUAGGCGGAUUUUUAAGUCAGCGGUAAAAUGUCCGGGCUCAACCUGGGCCGGCCGUUGAAACUGGGGAUCUUGAGUGGGCGAGAAGUAUGCGGAAUGCGUGGUGUAGCGGUGAAAUGCAUAGAUAUCACGCAGAACUCCGAUUGCGAAGGCAGCAUACCGGCGCCCGACUGACGCUGAGGCACGAAAGCGUGGGGAUCGAACAGGAUUAGAUACCCGGGUAGUC
rnacentral:rRNA from 1 species